rnacentral:misc_RNA from 1 species
CCGAACUAAAGAGAACUCUCCCAGAAGUACUCUUGUAUUUACAUGAUCGAUGGUAAGAACUCCUAAAACAACGUCGUUGAGGAUGCGAUGCACCGGCGGCAGACCAGUAGGUCUACCGGAGCACGACGGCGGCGAUGAAGCUGAGAACGGCAACGGCGCUGACGGCGGAGCAGCAGAGAUCGACGAGCACCUCCUUCCUGGCCUUGGACUCCUUCCUCCCCCUCUUGCUCCUGACGAAGUCUCGGUACCUCCGCCUGGCCGUCUCCUCCUGCUCCUCCUCCCCUCCCUUCCUCGGCCCCACCAUGGCGGCCGCGAUCAGCCGCAUGGCGCCUUCGCCGCUGACCGCCGCGCCGUCGGCGUCCUCGACGGUAAGGCUGAUCUCCCGGACGUGCGCCGUCUCCAGGGCGCAGGUGACGGUGGCCUCGAACUUGCACCCGGCGAGCACGAGCGCGUAGCGCAGCAGCGUGUCGCCCGUGUACCAGUGCCUGUCGACGGCGACGGGGCGGCGGCUGGACACGUUGACCGCGCGGCCGCUGCCGGGGUCGACCGCGACCCAGCUGAGCUCCAGCUCCGCCGGGGCGGCGGCGGCGGCGGCGCGGCCGACGGGCACGGCGGGGCCCUUGCACUCCACGGCGUCGACGCGGAAGGGCGAGGCGAGGAACCACGAGGACGACGUGCACGUCUCCACGACGCGGGACAGCAGCGGCUCGCCGCGGUGGUAGACGUCCACGGCGGAGACGAUGCCGCUCGGGACGGGGAGCUGUGGCUCAGCCUCGGCACGGGCCAUGGGGGGAGCUGCCGAUGUGGCGCUGUCGUCGUCGGCCGGGAACGGGAAGGCGUCGGCGAAGAGGCGCUGCGGCGAGGCGAGGAGGAGGUCCGGGCGCGCGGCGGCCAGCGACGGCCACCGCGCGAGGCAGAGCGCGCGCCACGUCUCCGGGUCGGCGGCGAGCGCCCGG